rnacentral:rRNA from 1 species
UCAGGACGAACGCUGGCGGCGUGCCUAAUACAUGCAAGUCGAGCGAGCAGAACCAGCAGAUUUACUUCGGUAAUGACGCUGGGGACGCGAGCGGCGGAUGGGUGAGUAACACGUGGGGAACCUGCCCCAUAGUCUAGGAUACCACUUGGAAACAGGUGCUAAUACCGGAUAAUAAAGCAGAUCGCAUGAUCAGCUUAUAAAAGGCGGCGUAAGCUGUCGCUAUGGGAUGGCCCCGCGGUGCAUUAGCUAGUUGGUAAGGUAACGGCUUACCAAGGCAAUGAUGCAUAGCCGAGUUGAGAGACUGAACGGCCACAUUGGGACUGAGACACGGCCCAAACUCCUACGGGAGGCAGCAGUAGGGAAUCUUCCACAAUGGACGCAAGUCUGAUGGAGCAACGCCGCGUGAGUGAAGAAGGUUUUCGGAUCGUAAAGCUCUGUUGUUGGUGAAGAAGGAUAGAGGUAGUAACUGGCCUUUAUUUGACGGUAAUCAACCAGAAAGUCACGGCUAACUACGUGCCAGCAGCCGCGGUAAUACGUAGGUGGCAAGCGUUGUCCGGAUUUAUUGGGCGUAAAGCGAGCGCAGGCGGAAGAAUAAGUCUGAUGUGAAAGCCCUCGGCUUAACCGAGGAAUUGCAUCGGAAACUGUUUUUCUUGAGUGCAGAAGAGGAGAGUGGAACUCCAUGUGUAGCGGUGGAAUGCGUAGAUAUAUGGAAGAACACCAGUGGCGAAGGCGGCUCUCUGGUCUGCAACUGACGCUGAGGCUCGAAAGCAUGGGUAGCGAACAGGAUUAGAUACCCUGGUAGUCCAUGCCGUAAACGAUGAGUGCUAAGUGUUGGGAGGUUUCCGCCUCUCAGUGCUGCAGCUAACGCAUUAAGCACUCCGCCUGGGGAGUACGACCGCAAGGUUGAAACUCAAAGGAAUUGACGGGGGCCCGCACAAGCGGUGGAGCAUGUGGUUUAAUUCGAAGCAACGCGAAGAACCUUACCAGGUCUUGACAUCUAGUGCCAUCCUAAGAGAUUAGGAGUUCCCUUCGGGGACGCUAAGACAGGUGGUGCAUGGCUGUCGUCAGCUCGUGUCGUGAGAUGUUGGGUUAAGUCCCGCAACGAGCGCAACCCUUAUUAUUAGUUGCCAGCAUUAAGUUGGGCACUCUAAUGAGACUGCCGGUGACAAACCGGAGGAAGGUGGGGAUGACGUCAAGUCAUCAUGCCCCUUAUGACCUGGGCUACACACGUGCUACAAUGGGCAGUACAACGAGAAGCGAGCCUGCGAAGGCAAGCGAAUCUCUGAAAGCUGUUCUCAGUUCGGACUGCAGUCUGCAACUCGACUGCACGAAGCUGGAAUCGCUAGUAAUCGCGGAUCAGAACGCCGCGGUGAAUACGUUCCCGGGCCUUGUACACACCGCCCGUCACACCAUGGAAGUCUGCAAUGCCCAAAGCCGGUGGCCUAACCUUCGGGAAGGAGCCGUCUAAGGCAGGGCAGAUGACUGGGGUGAAGUCGUA